rnacentral:rRNA from 1 species
GACGAACGCUGGCGGCGUGCUUAACACAUGCAAGUCGAACGGUGAACCAGGGCUUGCCCUGGGGAUCAGUGGCGAACGGGUGAGUAACACGUGACCAACCUGCCCUUGGCUCUGGGAUAACCCCGGGAAACCGGAGCUAAUACCGGAUACGAGAUCGUGCGGCAUCACACGAACUGGAAAGCUGUUCGGCCAAGGAUGGGGUCGCGGCCUAUCAGCUAGUUGGUGGGGUAACGGCACACCAAGGAGACGACGGGUAGCCGGCCUGAGAGGGCGACCGGCCACACUGGGACUGAGACACGGCCCAGACUCCUACGGGAGUCAGCAGUGGGGAAUAUUGCGCAAUGGGCGAGAGCCUGACGCAGCGACGCCGCGUGAGGGACGACGGCCUUCUGGUUGUAAACCUCUUUCAGCAGGGAAGAAGCGAAAGUGACGGUACCUGCAGAAGAAGCACCGGCUAACUACGUGCCAGCCGCCGCGGUAAAAC